rnacentral:lncRNA from 1 species
UCCAACAAGAAGUAGCGAAAGCAAAUGCUGCUCUGUCUGCCCUCCAGAAGGUGUUCCCAGAUUCUAAUCAACCACGUCACAAGUCUGGAACGGGCUUUGGUGGGCGCAGUGCACCUUCUGGACGUGGCCGAGGCUGGGCGCGGGGCCGAGGCAAGGGACGGGGCUUGGGAUUCACUCACGCCAAGCCCAGCAACAAUGAAGCCUCUUACUUCUCUUGCGGUGGUUUCCUGAAUUCAUUGAGCCCAGCUGCCUCAGCAUCAGCUAUGUCCACAUCUACUACUUCCUGCAGGCUUUUUCAAUUACUCUCUGAGAGGUACACCUGCAGGCCAUUCUGAUGGGUACACGGCUCGCACAGCUGGAUCCGCUUCACAUUUUGGGACCACAAAGCCACCGGCUGCAACACCAGGUCCAUUUCUCAGCUCAAAACCGAUUGCAUAUGCUGCAACGAGUUACGGUGCACCUUAUGAGGCCCCUUCGAUGCCGGUCACAACUGAAGCACUUCCGUCAUUGUUGGCGACUGCAGCAUAUGGUACCCAGUCCCAAGCCUUCCAAGCAAUUGGGAAAACUGGUAAUCGCACAGCAUAUGUUUCUCCCUCAGCUUACCAGCCCACACCACCUGCAUCUUUCCAAACGCACAGUGCUACUUACCAGGCUCCAGUGGUGACAGCUGCCUUCCAAGGUGUACCAACUCCCACUGGUAUGGCUGUACCCAGCUCUACAUCGACCUUCCCCCCGACCUACGCUUUCAGCCCAGCCUUUCCCAGUCAGCCGGCUGCACCUGCAACCAUACAAUAUGACGGUUUCAAUUCACAGCCCACAUUUGCAGCUGCAUCGCCAGGAGGCUACACGACCCCAGCUGUUGCAGCUGCAGUCAUGGCUCCAGGUCCACAGGCCUACCUUACCGCCCAAACCGUCUAUGUUGCCCCACAGUCUCUAGCCAGCUUUGGUCACACAGAGCCGGCAGUCCUCCACACCUUCCAACCCUAUCGUUAGGCCUCACUUUUUGGCCUUGCCACUUCAUUUUCUAGGGGCAACUUUGCACAGUUCUUCCCCACAAAACUUUUCUUUCUGUUGUCUACAAUACCUGUGGUGUACUUCAGUUCACCUCUAGAUUCUUGAAAGUGUCAAUUAAAUUUUGAACUUUCCACAUUGUAGUCUCUUUAAUCUUUCGUUCACAAAAUGUGAUUCAUUUCCUCUCGGUUUUACACACACCAUGUGACUAUUAGUCAUUUAGUUCACUUUGUUUCACUCAAAAGUGUGAAUGUCUAAUCUCCUUUUUAAACUAAACUUGACCCUGAUCGAAACUUCUACAAUGUUAAAAACAAGAAAAAGAUCAAUCUGAGAUUGCAGACCCUCGCCAGGACUUUUUUGUGGUGUUUAUGUACUGGUGUGUUACUUAAUUAACAAGAGACAUAAUUAGAACUGCCACUUUAUAACUGCUGUUCAUGUAAUAAAUCCAGUGUAAUAAAUAUUAAAGUGAUGACCGGGAACCAAGACAACGUCCCACUUUGAUGCAACCUCGCUUUGAUUGGACACCUGACCCUGACCCAUGACGUGUUUUUUUGUUGUUUUUUUUUUCAAUUGAAUUUAGAAUGGGAUUAAAAUAAAUUCAAUUCAAAUCAAUAUUAAAUCCAGUGUAAUAAAAAUUGAAGUGAUGACCGGGUACCAAAACGUCCCGCUUUGAUGCAACCCCUCUUUGAUUGGACACCUGGCCCUGACCCAUGACGUUUUUUAAAAUUAUUUUUCAAUUGAAUUUAGAAUGGGUUUAAAAUCAAUUCAAUUCAAAUCAAUAUUAAAUACAGUGCAAUAAAUAUUAAAGUGAUGACCGGGUACCAACACGUCCCACUUUGAUGCAACCCCACUUUGAUUGGACACCUGACCCAUGACGUGUUUUUUCGUUAUUAUUCAAUUAAAUUUAUGCGAUUAAAAUUAAUUCAAUUCAAAUCAAAUGGAAGACCAAAUAGGUACAGUCCUGCAUUGGAGUAAUCAGAAGGAACCCGGACAAGAAAAAAAUCAAAAUGAAGUCAUCAGGAGGAACCUGGAUACGAUCCAGAUACCCUUAAACCCAUCCAGGCACAGCCAAGUAAUCCUUAUGCAAAAAAAAAAAAAUAAUAAUAACCCAGAUCAAAAAAAUAAGUAAUUCUGGUUGCCAGAUCAUGUAUCCGAUUAAGGUGAAAUUUCAAAUUUGUAUUCCCCAUCACUACUAGAUCAUAAUUGUGAAGUUUUGUGGUGAUUGAUUAAGCAUUUUCAGAGAAAACAUUAUUUAAUAUUUUUCUUCAAUCCAAUAUUGCUGCCAAGCCAUGUGACCUAUCAAAUAUUCAUAAACAAACUUGUACACCCAUGUCUUGGGGAACAUUUUUUUAAGUUUUCCCCCAAUCUGUCCACCGUUCUGGAGAAGAUUUUUUUUAUAGGUUUUAGGGUAAAUCCAAUAUGGCUGCCAAACCUUGUGACCUAUGACAUCAUAUGGGUGAACCUUUUGUUCCUCAUGGAUAGAUGGUCAUACGUGUAAAGUUUUGCCUCGAUCUAUUCAGCCACUUACUUCAGAGAAGAAGAUUUUAGAAGGUUUUUUUUUUUUAAUAACUGGCUGCUGAAUCACGUGACCGAUGACGUUAUCAUUUUUUUUUCUUCUGUGGAUCAUUUUAUCCCGAGAUGACCCUCAAAAACUUUCAUACUGAUCAGAUGUAGCAUUCCACAUAUGCAAUUAUAAUGUCAUAACGAAGGCACCUUUGACAUCAUAAAAAAAAACACUUAUUCCCCAUGACGAGUACUUUCUGUGUACUAUUUCAAUUUUUUCCUUGGUGUGGUUUCAGAGAUAGAGGUACAAAGUUUUUCCAUUUUUCCAACAUGGCUGCCACACAAUGUGACCGAUGACAUCAUCAUUAUCAUUAAAACAUGAUACAUCUGUAAGUCGCAAGACAAGAGGGUAAGUACAGGAGUGCUUUUGGUGGGGUCUCGUCAAGGGGUGUUGUGUGAAAAACACUUUUUAAAAAAUGAUAAAUUUUCCAUUUUCUUAUUUGGAUCUUGUGUUGAUAAAUUUGUGUGUUGUUGAUGUUGUUCAGGCAUGAUGGGCUGAAUGGCCUCCACCUGUGUCUAAUUUCCUUGUAGUAGUCGCACCGAUGGUGAAAAUUUCGUCUCAAUCCCACAAGCGGUUGCAGAGAAAAACAUUAGAGUUCUGUGUGGACAAACAGACAGACAAAUAAAUGGACCCAACUACAAUACCCUCUCCUCUGGCUAGUGUAAUAGCCUUUCUCACCCAUAAGCAAAAUUAUCGUCGCGGCUUUCAACUUGUGCUUCUUUCUAGUUCAUGAAACUGUUUGGCUGUGUUGCGUUACGUGAGCUCAGUUGUCAGCGAAUUCAAACUGAAAUCCUUGGUUCUCAGGUCAUACGUCUGUCCCACAGUUGUAGUGCACCAGGUUUCGAUAUAAAAUUCAAGACUGCAGCAUGAAUAACAUUGCUGAUCCAAUGUAAUAAAUAUUAAUUUAUAUUAAUAACAUUGCUGAUCCAGCAUCAUAAAUAUAAAUUUACAUAAAUAACUUUGCUGAUUCAGUGGAAUCUAUCUAUAAUUCCAGCAGUGUGUGUGUGUGUGUGGGGGGG